AGCAGCCGCGGUAAUUCCAGCUCCAAUAGCGUAUAUUAAAGUUGUUGCAGUUAAAAGCUCGUAGUUGAAUUUCGGGAUCAGUAGGUCGGUCACGCCUAUGGUAUGUACUGGUCUCACUGGUUCCUCCUUCCUGAUGAACCGUAAUGCCAUUAAUUUGGUGUUGCGGGGAAACUGGACUGUUACUUUGAAAAAUUGAGUGUUUAAAGCAGGCUAAUGCUUGAAUACAUUAGCAUGGAAUAAUGAAAUAGGACGAUCGAUCCUAUUUUGUUGGUUUCUAGGAUUGACGUAAUGAUUAAUAGGGAUAGUUGGGGGCAUUAGUAUUCAAUUGUCAGAGGUGAAAUUCUUGGAUUUAUUGAAGACUAACUACUGCGAAA
rnacentral:rRNA from 1 species